CUUGCGCUAUUGGAUGUGCCUAUGUCGGAUUAGCUAGUUGGUGGGGUAAGAGCCUACCAAGGCGACGAUCCGUAGCUGGUCUGAGAGGAUGAUCAGCCACACUGGAACUGAGACACGGUCCAGACUCCUACGGGAGGCAGCAGUGGGGAAUCUUGCACAAUGGGCGAAAGCCUGAUGCAGCGAUGCCGCGUGCGGGAAGAAGGCCUUAGGGUUGUAAACCGCUUUCAGGAGGGAAGAAAAUGACGGUACCUCCAGAAGAAGGUGCGGCCAACUACGUGCCAGCAGCCGCGGUGACACGUAGGCACCAAGCGUUAUCCGGAUUUAUUGGGCGUAAAGAGCUCGUAGGCGGUUUGGUAAGUCGGGUGUGAAAACUCUGGGCUCAACCCAGAGAGGCCACUCGAUACUGCUAUGACUAGAGUACGGUAGGGGAGCGGGGAAUUCCUGGUGUAGCGGUGAAAUGCGCAGAUAUCAGGAGGAACACCAGCGGCGAAGGCGCCGCUCUGGGCCGUAACUGACGCUGAGGAGCGAAAGCAUGGGUAGCAAACAGGAUUAGAUACCCUGGUAGUCCACGCCGUAAACGAUG
rnacentral:rRNA from 1 species